ensembl:miRNA
CAAGAAGGAGGAUGUAGAGCUGGGCCAGACAUGCUCUUGCCUGCCCUUUUCCUCCAG